rnacentral:rRNA from 1 species
CCUACGGGCGGCAGCAGUGGGGAAUAUUGGACAAUGGGGGGAACCCUGAUCCAGCCAUGCCGCGUGUGUGAAGAAGGCCCUCGGGUUGUAAAGCACUUUCAGUGAGGAAGAACGCCUGGUGGUUAAUACCCAUCAGGAAAGACAUCACUCACAGAAGAAGCACCGGCUAACUCCGUGCCAGCAGCCGCGGUAAUACGGAGGGUGCGAGCGUUAAUCGGAAUUACUGGGCGUAAAGCGCGCGUAGGUGGCUUGAUAAGCCGGUUGUGAAAGCCCCGGGCUCAACCUGGGAACGGCAUCCGGAACUGUCAAGCUAGAGUGCAGGAGAGGAAGGUAGAAUUCCCGGUGUAGCGGUGAAAUGCGUAGAGAUCGGGAGGAAUACCAGUGGCGAAGGCGGCCUUCUGGACUGACACUGACACUGAGGUGCGAAAGCGUGGGUGGCAAACAGGAUUAGAUACCCUGGUAGUC